rnacentral:rRNA from 1 species
ACUUUCAACAACGGAUCUCUUGGCUCUCGCAUCGAUGAAGAACGCAGCGAAAUGCGAUAAGUAAUGUGAAUUGCAGAAUUCAGUGAAUCAUCGAAUCUUUGAACGCACCUUGCGCCCUUUGGUAUUCCGAAGGGCAUGCCUGUUUGAGUGUCAUG